rnacentral:rRNA from 1 species
GCUUGACCUCAAAUCAGGUAGGUUUACC